rnacentral:lncRNA from 1 species
GUUGCUUAGAUUUUAGUUUGUAGAUUCGUGAUGUUAAAAAAUGUUUCAUGAAAAACCAAAUGGUGAAAUAGAAAACGAAUGAGAGCUUUUGAUUCGUGCAAGUGAUGUGAAUAAAAUCUUUUUUUGACAUUGUGAUUUUAACAACCAUGUGACUUAAAUGAAAACUUUUAAACUGUUCAAUAACCGUUUUAUAUCUUUUUUGAAGUUAAGUAACUAAAAUGUAAACUUACUAAAGUUUAGCGAUAUUGAGAGUAGUUUACCCUAAGUUUAAAUAAAAUAAUAUUUAAAUAUUAAAUAUGAAUUAUGACCAGGCCCGGCC